rnacentral:rRNA from 1 species
UCCCUUAAAAUGUAGUGGCCGAACGUUGUGCCGAUGCAUGGCUUUGGGUCGGUUCGUCCCGGUUCUGCUCGCACGGCUGAUCAGUCCGUCGUGUUGCAGCUGCCGUAGGGUGCACUUGACAUCAUGCUGGCUCAAAUCGUUCGAAACAAGCCAUCUCUGGAGAACUUUCGCGUGUAAAGCGCAACACCUUCGA